rnacentral:tRNA from 1 species
AUCGAGCUGCGCAAUCAGGGCGUGCGGCCCCGGGUCUGGUUCGGGGAGCGGUGGAUCACCUCCACGUUCGACC